AUCAAUGGUUAAAGUUAUUGAUGACUACCAUAUACCUAUAAUUACAAUUACUAGUACAAGGGAUAAUCCCGUAGCACAGGCAUCAAAUAUUGUUUUAACUUAUGGGAAAACUGAUGAAAAUGAGAUGCAUAUGGGAGCAACAACUUCAUUAUUUGCUCAAAUGUUCACUAUUGAUAUUUUAUAUUAUCGUUAUGUUGCAUUAAA
rnacentral:sRNA from 1 species